CUCUGAAUGUUUUAUUAGAGCGAAUACUUAGUACUUCAUAAAAUCCCUCGCAUUGUGUCCCUGACCUACAGGAUAAGAAUCAUUAUAGUGGGAGAGACAAAAAAAGAAAGAAAGAAAGAAAGAAGGAAGAGAGAAGAGAAGAGAAGGAAAAGGAAAAGAAAACACCAAUUCAACUUGCCAGAAACAGCGACCAACACUGAGCUCCUGAUAUGGCACAAUCCCUCCAGGAGACCAACCUGGCACUUGAUGACAAGUUGAUCACGCUAGGCACAGUAACAACAUAUUCCAGUUCUGACCUGAGAGUGGGCCCCAGGUACGAAACUGCAGCUGUAAAGGUGCCACAGGCAGCCAAACUUGGAAGCAAUCAAGAUGUCUUUC